GUAGUUGUGGCCGAGGGGUCAAGGCGCCAGGCAAUGGAUCUGAGGUUCAUCUCGCCGUGGGUUCGAAUCCCACCAACUACC